GAAAUGCGAUAAGUAAUGUGAAUUGCAGAAUUCAGUGAAUCAUCGAAUCUUUGAACGCACAUUGCGCCCCUUGGUAUUCCGAGGGGCAUGCCUGUUCGAGCGUCAUUUCACCACUCAAGCCUGGCUUGGUAUUGGGCGCCGCGGUCCGCCGCGCGCCUUAAUGUGUCCGGCUGAGCCGUCCGUCUCUAAGCGUUGUGGUAACCUAUCCGCUUGCGAGAUUGGGGGGCGUCUGGCCGUUAAACUCAUUCAAAGGUUGACCUCGGAUCAGGUAGGGAUACCCGCUGAACUUAA
rnacentral:misc_RNA from 1 species